rnacentral:lncRNA from 1 species
GUCAGCCCGGUUUACCAGGAGUUCCCGGUGUCGGUGGGUGGAUCAAAUAUUUACCAGAGGCAUAGUUAAACAUCCAAGCCUACACCUGUGGCCUGAUCCUUGUGGGUAUAUGUUGUAUUGUUCAUUGUAUUGUUUUCUCCCCAGGUUUCCCUGGACCCCAGGGACAACCUGGGGGUCCAGGACCAGAAGGGGACAGUGGAAUUCCAGGUCCCCAAGGUCCAGAGGGCCCCGAGGGGCAACCGGGUCCAAAAGGUACACCCUUACACCCCUUUAAAGAUGCAGUCUGGGAUCUUAAGCACUUAUACAUUCGUAACAUAUCAUACGAAUCGCAAAAAUAAUUCAAACUGGAACCUGUUUUGGCUCGGGAGCACUAUUUUCAAAUCUACUGGCUAAAAUUAUACAAAAGCUCUGGAGCAUCACUUCAACAAUGUUUAUCACUCAAUGUGGAUCCUUUGUAUAAGUUAAGCCAACUUAUAUCUUCAUUAGGUGAGGCUGGCGUUCCAGGUGCUCCAGGAAUCCCUGGCUACUCCAGUGGUGGAUCAUCCAGGAGUUCCCCUGGAGCGCCAGGUCCACCUGGACCUCCCGGCCGCGAUGGGCCACCUGGGUCUGGGUCUGGAACACCGGACGUCUGCCAAUACAUCACAGAAUACCUCAAGAGCGAUGGUGUCAGGGAGUACAUGUCGGGACCUCCGGGUCCUCCGGGUGUACCGGGGCCCCCUGGUGGUGGAUCAGUGGAGUCCGUGGACAACCUUGCUAGUCGCGUCAUCGCAUACAUCCAGAGUGGAGGUAUUGCUAGUGGGGUGCCUGGACCUCCAGGCCCGCCUGGCGCUCCCGGUGGAGGCAGCACAUCGCUAAAUGACAUCAUCAGCCUUCUACAGAGUGAGGAAGUGCGACGCUACGUCAUCGGUCCUCCUGGCCCUGCUGGUCCUCCUGGCAUCCCAGGGAUCCCAUGGAGAGGAGGCUAUGGCUUUAAUACCCAUGAGGUGGCUGGACGAGUCCUCAAUCUAAUGAAUGGUGCUGAAUACAGUGGCGUCUUGGGCGCUCAGGGGCCUCCUGGUCCACCUGGUGUCCCAGGCCCUGCUGGCCCUCAAGGCCAUGCCGGUCCUUCAGGACAGGCCCCCUACAGCGGCUCUGGAUACAGGCUGGAGGAGGUCAAGGACUACAUACAGAGUGAUGGUAUAAGAGGGGGAAUGUUUGGGCUUCCAGGCCCCCCAGGUCCCCCUGGAUCCCAGGGACACAAGGGAGAGCAGGGUAGCUCUGGGUACGGCCACGCCUUCGACCACAGGACCAGCGAGGGAAGAAGGCUGGCUGAGACUGAGACAGACUACUCCAAUAUAGCGGUCCGAGUGACUGACUACAUCAAGUACCAUGGUCUGUUGAGGGACGUGGUUGAGAACCGGUCUCAGCUGGAGAAGUCACAGGUUGUUCAAGGACCCCCAGGACCCCCUGGCCCUCCCGGUGCGCCAGGAUUCAGCCAUGUGUUUGGAUCCCAUAGUAACGCCACUGACCUUGUGGAAUACAUCAGAGCCCAUGGAAACACUGUGGGACCCCCUGGAAGGCCAGGACAGAAAGGGGACAUAGGACAUACAGGUCACAAAGGCGAGAGAGGUACCUUUUUGUUCCAUUACGCCUUUGAAAUCUUUAGAGUUGUGCUCUUGAUCAUUUGCCAGGUCUUUGUAAACCAUUGUAUUUAG